CAGGUGUCCCACCGCCGACGAGGAAGCGACUAGCUAUAAACCAUUUUCUAGCUCAAGAAACUAAAAUUCGAAGU